rnacentral:rRNA from 1 species
CUUGAUUCAAGAGUGACGGGCGAUUUGUGCAUAUUAAAAUUUAUUUUUCUAUUUUAAUUUUUUUUUUUAAAUUUAAUUUUAAGUUCUUCUUAUUUUUAUUCUUUUUAUUAAUUUUAAUUUUAUUUUUUUGAGUUUCAUAUCAUCAAACUUAUUUCUUCUGUCUUGAUUUGUUUUUUUUAAUAUAUUUUAAAUUAACUAAAAUUUUUGUAUUUUAAUUUUAAACAAUGAUAUAGAAAGUUAAAAAGUUAGCUUUUUUUUAUCGUGGGCUAUCUAUUAUUGUACAAAACUCCCUAAUAUAUUAAUACCGCCAUUUUAUUUAGAUUUAAAUUAUUUAUUUACUAUCUAUUGUUAUAAUAAAA